rnacentral:rRNA from 1 species
UACGGAGGGUGCAAGCGUUAAUCGGAAUUACUGGGCGUAAAGGGCGCGUAGGUGGUUUAAUAAGUUGGCUGUGAAAUUCCUGGGCUUAACCUGGGGUGGUCAGCCAAUACUGUAAGGCUAGAGUACGAGAGAGGGUAGUGGAAUUUCAGGUGUAGCGGUGAAAUGCGUAGAUAUCUGAAGGAACACCAGUGGCGAAGGCGACUACCUGGCUCGAUACUGACACUGAGGCGCGAAAGCGUGGGGAGCAAACAGG